rnacentral:rRNA from 1 species
AUUAACGCUAGCGGCAGGCAUAAUACAUGCAAGUUGAACGGCAGCACAGGUAGCAAUACUGGGUGGCGAGUGGCGCACGGGUGCGUAACACGUAUGCAACCUACCCUAUACAGGCGAAUAACCUUUAGAAAUGAGGGCUAAUACGCCGUAGUAUUACAGAUGGGCAUCUAUUUGUAAUUAAAGAUUUAUCGGUAUAGGAUGGGCAUGCGUCCCAUUAGUUAGUUGGUAAGGUAACGGCUUACCAAGACGAUGGUGGGUAGGGG